CUGCCACACACAGGGUUUCUCUUUGCUUGGAUCCCCCUCCCUCUGUCUCUGUAUGGGGGAGCUGUUUUCUUCUUCCUUUCCUCUUUCUUGCCUAUUAAAUUCUCUGCUCCUUAAAACCACUCCAGACUUGUGUCCAUGUCGGUCAUCAUGAGACCAAGGACUCUGGUGUUCCUCCAGUCAUCGGAGCCAUAUCAUUUUGGUGCAUUGGCCGGGAAUUCAUUCAACGGAUUGGUGCCAUUCUAAGCCCCUUCAGUGAUGAGAAGAAUAAUUCUCGAAGCCUCACUAGAGAGAUGUGUGAGUGACAAUAUGGAACGAAGGCCUGAUGGUGAAGUUUCAGAAACUAGUUCCUGAGAGUGGUUCAUAUGUUAAGCUGAGGUGAAAUUACCAACCCCCUUUAAAUUAUGUCAUGCUACUUCGAUGAUACAUAAAGUUUCUCCUACUCUGCCCAGCUCCUCUUCCUCACCCUCCCUAAACAUUUAUAACAUCAAAAUGAGAUGCUCUGGAAGCCCUUUCAAAGCUACUUCCAGCUGGGUGCGCUGGGUCACGUUUGUAAUCCUAAUACUUUGGGAGGCCAAGGCGUGCGGAUCACUUGAGGUAAGGAGUUCAGGACCAGUCUGGCCAACAUGGCAAAACCCUGUCUCUACUGAAAAUACAAAAAUUAGCCAAGUGUGGUGGCGCUUGCCUGUAGUCCCAGCUACUUGAGAGGCUGAGGCAUGAGAAUCCCUUGAACCAGGGAAGUGGAGACUGCAGUGAGCUGAGAUUGCACCACUGCACUCCAGCCUGGGUGACAGAGCAAGACUCCAUCACAAAAAAAAAAAAAAAAAAAAAGCUACUUCCAAAACCUGAGGGUUUUUAUUCUUUUGUGAAUAACACGAGAACUGGACAUGUCUCUGCAUUCCCGGCAAUUUCUUGAAUUAGCUCAUAUUGAGUGACUAGCUUUUAUGAAAGUUAAUUCCUUGAGCUUAACCUCCGAGAAUCUGCCAAAAAUCUCCCAGACAAGGUGAAGACAAGACUCAUCCUCUCGCCCCAUCCCUAUGUUGCUCUUUGAUAUUUGAUUGUUACACCAGCUAAUUCUAAUAGGAUAGACUUGAAAUCCUUUCCCCCCAGUAAACCUCUAUGCUGCAAGGAAGAGACUCCAAGAUCUAUGUACUCCACGUCUCUCAUUCAAACAUCCUUGGUUUAUAAAUCUCCUAGACCUCUCUACUCCAUUAUAUGCCUCUGCCCAGGUACCUAAUGGAAGCCACUGAAAACCUGAAAAACUCUGGCUUCAGAUCCAUGUAACAGUUCCCUUGAAAAGGCUCCUUUUGCUAAAGAACUGGAAGUAUCCCCUUCUCCAUACCCAGCACAUUGGUUUAUCAUUAUUAUUUGCCACCAGAAAUCUCACAGGCUGUUUGUUCUCUGCCCAAAUUCAUAUUCCAGUUAUUUGUUCUCAGGGCCAGCCCACCCUGCACCUGAGAAAAGGGGCUGAAACCUGCAGGGGCUCAAUCUCUCUCCAGGCAAUUUCCAGUCUCUCCAGACCUGGGUUCCCAUUACAAUGCUUCCCCCUGACAUUCUCUUUACCUCAAACAGCACAACUUGUUUUUCUUUCUCCGGUGUCUGCUCCCUCCUGAUGCAGGAUCCACUUAAGUCUUUCUGAAACUGACACCAGGAUCAAGGGAGGAAAAACCAGGCAGCACAAAGCCUUUGGCAGGCUCCUGCAGCAAGUUCUGUGCUGCCUGCUCCUCCUGAAAAUCCUCUCUCAGCUCUUUCCAGAUGUGCCCCAGACUCUCACGAGCACAUUUCUCUCAAACAGCCCAUCAAUCACUCCAUGAGUGUUUACUUAGUGCCCGCUUCAUGCGAGACAUUGUCCUCUACGCCCGGGAGCAUGCCUCCAUGUGGGAGAAUUGAUUCCUGCCUUCCAGACCUCAUGGCCUCUGCAAGGAAACACGACAUCAGCCAAAGAAAAUACAAAGCCUGGAGAACUCUUUCCAAAUCAGAGGCACAGACUCUGCUAGCUGAAGAAGCUGAAGAUUAGAAUUAAACCUUGAGGAGUAGGUAGGAGAAAGGGAGGGGGAACGAUGCUCUUGAUAGAAGAGCAAGUGAGCAAAGACACAAACAUAUUUGGGGGCAGUAAGUUUAUGACCUGGGCAGGCCGAGGAGACUUUUUUUUUUUUUGAGACAGGAUCUUGCUCCAUUGUCCAGGCUGGAGUGCAGUGGCACCGUCUCGGCUCACUGCACCCCCCUCCUCCCCGGGUUCAAGUGAUUCUUAUGCCUCAGCCUCCCGAGUAGCUGGAACUAUAGGCACGUGCACCACACCCAGCUAAUUUUUGAAUUUUUAGUAGAGAUAGGGUUUCACCAUGCUGCCUAGGCUAGUCUCAAACUCCUAACCUCAAGUGAUCCAACUGCCUCAGCCUCUCAAAGUACUAGGAUCACAGGCGUGAGCCACCACGCCCAGCUCUGAGGAAAUUUUUGAAUGCUGCGCUGGAAAGGUGUCUCAUAGACACUGCCAUCCCUUGUUGAAGCUAACCUCUCUUCAAAAAAAUGGAAAUAAAAUAAGGGGUAGAGGGGGCAGGGCUUCCCACCAACAGGCAUGGCCCUGGUGGUGCUUCUGCCUGGGAAGGUCCAGCUAGACCAGGUGACCCUUCACUAGCAGUUCUAGCCCAAAGCUAUGGUCCCAGUCCUGGGAAGGAGAGCCCUGUGACUUCCCCCAGUCUGCACUUACUCCACAAAUUCCUCUGGAAAGAGCACCAGCCUGGGAAUCAGGGGACCUGGUUCCUGACCCAGCAUUUUCACUAACUAGAUGGCAAGCCACACAGCCUCAUGAGCCUCCAUGUCUGCACAUGUACAAUGACAAUGAAGAGUUUGGAGAAGAUGUACUAAGUCCUUUCUAGCUCUUAGGUGUUAUUUUGCAAUCAUUUCUGUAGCCCACCUUCCAUCAUCCAUUAUUCAAUGGGUCUCAUGGGAGAUCUUAUUUUUCAGUUCCUGGGGUAUUGUGAUAUGGCGAAAUAUAUAUAUUUGGUCUUUAUCCAGUUUCCUGGCAUACAACUCCAAGUCUCCAUAGUGAUGUCUUUUUGUAUGCCAAGGAGUUGACUGGUGGCUGACAGCCCCUAAGUAGCUUCAGAAUGGGGGGUGGUCAUCAAGACCCAGGCUGGAUGAGAGGAUUGGGACUUUCAGCCCCAUUCCCCAGCCUCCAGAGAAAGGAGAGGAGCUGAAGGUUAAGUUGAUCACCAAUGACCAAUGAUUUAAUCAGUCAUGCCUACAUAAUAAAGCCUCUAUAAACACCCAAAAGGACUUCCAUACCAACCCCAACAGGGUUUGAAGAGCUUCCAGAUAGCUGAACACGUGAAGAUUCCUGGAGGGUGGCACCCAAGGAGGGCAUCGAAGCUCCACACCCCUGCCCACCUGCCAUUCGCUAGCAUCUCUUCAUCUGUACCCUUUGUAAUAGACUUUACAAUAAACUCAGUAUUUCCCUGAGCUCUGUGAGCCACUCUAGCAAACUAACUGCACACAAGGAGUGGGCUGUGGGAACCCUGAUCUAUAGCCAGUGGGUCAGAAGCACAGGUAAAACAACCUGGAACUUGUGAUUGGCAUCGGAAGUGGGGGACAUUCUCAUAGGACUGAGCCGUCACCUGUGGGCUCUGAUGCUAGCUCCAGGUAGAUAGUGUUGGAAUUGAACUAAAGUGGAGGACACCCAGCUGGUGUUCGCUGCUGGAAGAUUGCUUGCUGGCUGGUGGGAAGAAACUCCACCCCGCAAACACAUGUCUGGUGUCAGAAGUACUGUGUGACUGCGCUGGGAGGGUGCAGUAGGAAGAAACUGGGCUCGUUACUCCUGUAUGCUCUGAAGGUAUGAUCCUUUUUGCCAGCUUUCUUCCUCUGCCUGCUAUUUCCUGGCUGUCAUCUUUUUCAAAAUUUGCUUUUAAAUAUGAAAAGACUCAUAUUUAUUAUAGAAAAUUUGGAAAAUACAGGAAACACAGAGACAAUAUGGAAAUCAUCUAUAAUUCAAUCAUUCAAAGACAACCACCAUUAACUAUUUGACCUAUAUCUUUCUCAUAGACAGUUGUCCCUCAGUAGCCUGAGGGGAACUGGUUCCAGGACCCCUGUGCAUACCAAAAUCUGUGGAUGCUCAAGUCCCUUAUAUAAAAUGGUGUAGUAUUUGCAUAUAACCUACAUGUGCCCUCCUGUAUACUUUAAAUCAUCUCUAGAUUACAAUAUAAUGUAAAUGCUAUGUAAAUAGUUAUACUGUCUUUUUUAUUUCUAUUAUUUUGUAUUGUAUUGUGUUUUUUUCUGAAUAGUCAUUUACUGCAUAAUGACAUUUUGGUCAAUGACAAACUGCAUAUGUAACGAUGGUUCCAUAAGAUUAUAAUGCAGCUGAAAAUUUCUGGUCACCUAGUAACAUCAUAGCUCUCAUAACAUUGUAGGGCAGUACAUUACUCAUGUGUUUGUGGUGGUCCUUUCAGAGGUAUUCCAGAAGGAGGCAUUGUUAUCAUAGGAGAUGACAGCUCAAUGCAUGUUAUUGCUUCUAAAGACCUUCCAAUGGGACAAGACGUGGAGGUGGAAGACGGUGAUGUUGAUUAUCCUGAGCUUGUAUAAGCCUAAGCUAAUGUGUGAUUUGUAUCUUUGUUUUUAAUAAUAAGGUUUAAGAAGUCAAAAUUAAAAUUAAAGAAUUAAAGAAUAGAAAAAGCUUAUAUUAAUAGAAUAAGAAACAAAGAAAGUAUUUUGUAGAGCUGUAAAAUAUAUUUGUGUUUUAAGCUAAGUGUUAUUACAAAAAAGUCAAAAAGUUUUUUAAAAUUUUAAAGUUUAUAAACUAAAGUUACAGUAGGCUAAGGGUAAUUUAUUAUUGAAGGAAGAAUAACUUUUAGAAAUAAACAGUGCAGCCUAAGUCUACAGUGUUUACAAAGCCUACUGUAGCAUACAGCAAUGUCCUAGGCCUUCACGUUCACUCACCACUCACUCACUGACUCACCCAGAGCAAUUUCAGUCCUGCAAGCUCCAUUCAUGAAAAGUACCCUAUACACGUAUACCACUUUGUAUCUUUUAUAUUGUAUUUUUAUUUCACCUUUUCUGUGUUUAGAUACACAAAUACUUACCAUGGUGUUACAACUGCCUACAAUGUUCAAUACAGUCACAUACUUUACAGUUUUGUAGCCUAGGAGCAAUAGGCUAUCCCACAUAGCCUAGGUGUGGAGUAGGCUCUACCAUCUAGGUUUGUGUAAGCACAUUCUGAUGUUUGCACAAUGAUGAAAUUGUCUAACAAUGCAUUUCUCAGAAUGUAUCCCUAUUGUUAAGUAAUGCAUGACUGUAUAUUCCAUCCUCAGUUGGUUGCAUCCAUGGAUGCAGAACCCAUGGAUACAGAGGGCCAACUGUACAUACAUACUGUCUUAGUCCAUUUUCUGUUGCUAUAACUGAAUACCUGAUACCAGGUAAUUUAUCAAGAAAAGACAUUUAUUUCUUAAGUUCUGGAGGCUGGGGAGUCUAACGUGAAGGUGCCAGCAUCUGGUGAGAGCCUACUUCCUGCAUUAUAAUGACAGAAGUCAUUAUGUGGCAAGAAGGCAAGAGCAUGCCAGUUCAGAUCUCCCUUCUCUUAUAAAGCCACCAGUCCCAUCAUGGGCCCACCCUGAUGACUUUAUCUCAUCCUAGUUACCUCCCAAAGGCCCCACCUCUAAAUACCAUCAACAUAUGAAUUUGGCGAUUAAAGUUUCCAAAACAUUGAAACCAUAGCACAUGCUUUUAGUUUUAGCCAAGUUAGUACCAUACAGCACAUAAAUUAUAUAUUGUUGACAAUUCCACUUCCUGUAUGGACAGACUAGGUUGGUUUUGGACCAACCCUCCCCGAGAACUAGAAAAGCUGGAUAACAUAUAACAAAAUAUGUUUGAAGGCUUCUGAAAAAUGGUCAAAGCAAUGAAACUUUGUGGUGUUACAAUCUGAAAGAGGAAGGAAAUCAAGAGAAAUGAACCUGGAAUUUGGGGCCUCUCUGCCCCUCAAAGCAACAGGUAGAUUCCAUAAGCAAGAAGAGUGACAGGGGACUGAUAAAUCAAUGAGCUUUCAGCCGUCUGGUGAGGCAAUGUAACCAAAAUGGAGGUCAGGAUUCACUCGGGAGGAGGGAUCCUGGUAACACCCCAGGAAUUCUGCUGGGACCCCAAAGGCCUGUGCUCUAGUUAUAAGAGUAAAUCCACCCUCACAAAGAAUGAAGCCAAGCUUCAAAUCAUGUCAAUUCAAUCUAACCUUUGACUAGCUAACAGCCAGAAGCAAACCUUCCUCUGAUGGAAGAUAACAUCACAUAAAACCUCAAAUUAUCCCUACAUUUUUCAAACACUGUUUCACCCUUAAAAAGGUAGAUAAUAGAGAAGGCUAGAGAGCUGUCUUUACUGGGGAAAUAGCUGUGGCAGAUCAUUGCACCAUAGAAUGUGAUUAGAAAAGCAGAUCAAUAUGCAAGAGCCAUAGUUAAAGGCAUCACAGAGCCUAGGAGCCAAUGAAGACUAUACAGGAUCAGAUUCUGGGGAGGGGAAUCUGCAGAGAGGAAGCUGGCGAUCUCUGUCAAUUCUGUGAAUAGGUAAAAAGCUGAGAAACUUUGCCCAGGCAGUGAGUCACUCCCAGGUGAUUGAGAAACCAUCAGAGCUUCAGAAGUCUUACGAGGUGUAAUUGAUUAAAAUUGGAGACUUGAGGACUCUCAAAAAUGUGGUUUGUUUUGCCUCAAUAAGUUGGCUAAAUUCUGUAACUGUACAAGGAAUAUGGCUAAAAUUUCAAGCAGAGAAUUUUGGGCAGUUUUAUGGUGUUGAGGAGAGAAAGAUUAGAAUUUAGGGCCUGCCCGGGGAACAUGUCUCAGUGAACAUUUCAGAGAAUCAAUUAGAAACCCUGGAGGUCUAUGCCCCAGGAUCAGGAGCUAACCAGAGGCAACAAGCUGCACUGGAACCAGAACGACUUCAUCCACCCUCCCAGUUGCUGCUACACCCUGCCUCUCAGGCCCUGAGCUGAAGCAGCACCCAUCUCCCAGGGCAUCAAUGCCUUGGCUACCCAGAGCAGUCACACUCCCUGGUGCUGGAGCUGAAGUGGCACUGUGUCUUCCAGGGAAUUCUUGCCUUGGCUACUCAGGGUAGUCACACCCCCAGCACCUGAGCUGAAGUAAUGCCCUACCUCCCAGGGAAUCAGUGCCUUGGAUGAGCCUGGCAGCUGUACAUCCCAGGGCUGAAUUGACAUGGCACCUUGCAUCCCAAGAAAACAGCAUUGAGUGAGCUGAGACCACCUACCAGGCCAAACAACUGUAGAACCUUGUCUUCUUGGAACUGGACUACCUCUCGCCCUUGACACCACAAGAUUCUGAGCUGCUGAGGCACCCUGCCUCCUUGGAAAGUGGAGCCAUUGCUGUGCUGCUCCAUGUCCCCUGGGGCCCAAGCCACAGCUGAACUCUGCCAUUCCUGGUCCUUGCUGUCUCAUGGAGCCAGGGACACGGCUAUGUUGUCUCAUCAUCCCUGGGUCCAGAGUCACCACUACACAGUGCCUUAUCGUCCAGGACCUGAGUUACUGCUGUGCCCUAUUGGCUCCAUUUCCCAAAUUAUAGCUGUUCUCUGCUCAUGGACCUGAAUCUCCAGAGCACCCCUUCUCCCCUGGAGCUGAGCCAGUGCUGUGCCCUGCCCUUCAGGGUCGGAGUCAGAGCUACCAUCCAGCCUAAUGAGCCCGAGCUGCUGGAGUGUACCUCAAAGCCACAGACACCAGCUUUAUUGACCAUCUGCAUCUACCUAUGCCUCAGAGAGUGAACCUUCACUCCAAGUGCCAGCUGCCACAGUAGGUUUGUGAGACCGUGAGCCCAAACUCAGGUUUUAAAGCCACUCUGAGCACCUGUACCCUGGAACCUAGCACCACUGCAGCCACUUGUGGGCCAUGCCAGACCCAACAUGAGGAGAGAUGCCCUCACCUAAGACUCUUCUUAUGGAGGAAAUGAGAAUGGGAGGACCCUAAAAGCUCUUGCUACUGAGAACUCUAACAGCACACACUUCUGCCACUGCUGUCACAAACUCUGGCAGCCUAGGCCGGUGAGGUGCCCACAGUCAUUCUUGACCUUGACUGCAGCUGAAGAAGCUGCACAGAGACUAUACCACUGCCUCCACUUGGAAUCAGGGCCACCACACCCUGCCCAAACAGCACCUUAAGACCCACCUGCAGGUGAAAGUCUUUACCUACAAAAGACACUCUGUAAAUUUUGGAAGAGGUGACUGUUCCACCAGAUGCACAGACAUCAAUACAAGGAUAAAAGAAACAUGAAAAAGCAAGAAAACAUGACACCACCAAAGGAACACAAUAAUUCUCUAGUGACUGACCUCAAAGAAAAGAAAAUUUAUCAAUUGCCUGAAAAGGAGUUCAAAAUAAUAUUUUUAAGAAAAUUCAGCAAGAUAUGAGAUUCAGGAUACAGAUGGACAACUCAAAAAACUCAAGGAAACAAUUCAUGAUCUGACUGAGAAAUUCAACCAAGAGAUAGAUAUUAUAAAAGAGAACCAAACAGAAAUCUUGUAGCUGAAGAAUGCAAUAAAUGAAACAAAAAAUACAGUAGAGAGAUUCAACAGCAGACUAAAUCAUGCAGAAGAAUCUGUGAACUUGAUAAUAGGUUUUUUGAAAUUACUCGGGGUAGGGGAAAAGGAAAGAAAAUAAAAAAGUAAGAUGGCCUGCCUGACUUAUUGGAUGCCAUUAAGCAAAAUAACUCUUGCAUUACUUAUGUUCCAGAAGAAGAGACAGAGAAAGGGAUAAAAACUUCUUUAAUUAAAUAAUUGCUGAAAACUUCCCAAGUCUUGGGAGAGAUAUAGACAUCCAGAUCCAUGAAGCUCAAAGAGGUUCAACCAAAAGAGGUCCUCCUCAAGACAUAUUAUAACUAAACUGUCAAAAGUAACAAAAUGAGCAUUUUGAAAGCAGCAAGAGAAAAGCAUCAAGUCACAUAUAAGAGAAUCACUAUUAGGCUAUCAAUAGAUUUCUCAAGAGAAACCUUGCAAGCCAGGAGAGAAUGGCAUGAGAAUGGGAUGAUAUAUUCAAAGUGCUGAAAGAAAAAAAAAAAACUGUCAGCCAAGAAUACUAUAUCAAGUAAAUCUGCCCUUCAUAAAUCAAAGAGUGGAAAAGAUAUAGAAAGAAAAUCAGAGUGGAAAAGAUAUCCAAAGUCUAACCAAAUGAAAACUGGAAUGGCCAUCCUAGUAGCAGAAAAAUAGACCUUAAAGCAAAAAGUUACUAAAGUUAAAGAGGAGUAUUUCAUACUCAUAAAUGUUAAUUCACCAGAAAGCUAUCACAAUUCUAAAUCUAUCUGUGUGCGACAACAUAGUUUUAAAAUAUUUCUUUAAAAAAGCAAAAAUUGACAGAAUUAAAGGGAAAGAUGACAAAUUCACACUCGUAGCAGAAGAGUUUAAUAAAUCUCUCUCCAUAGCUGAUAAUGGACCCAAUAAAAUCAGCAAGGAAUGAGAAGAAUGAAACACAUAAUUGGCAAAUGUAUAGCACCACAUGAUUUCUUUCACGUAAUGUUCAAAAACUGGCAAAAUUAUGUCAUUAAAAUCAUGCCAGUGGCUACUUUUCAGGGGGAAAAAAGCAUAGUUGUUGGAAAUGAACAUAAAGGAGAGUUUUUGGGGUACAGGCAACAUUCUAUAAUGUUCUAUUCCUUCAGCCGGGUUGUACUUAGAUGAGUAUGUUCAUUUAGAGAUAAUCAUUGAACUGGUAUAAUCCAAUUUCAAAUGUGUAUUAAAUAUAUUUGUGUAGUUCAAACACUACACAUAGCAAUAAAAAACAAUUUUAUCCACAUAUCAAACUAAGUAAAUCUUGGAAAUUGUGUUGAAUGAAAACACAUAGAUAGAGAUUAAAAAUUUUGUAAAUUAUUUUAAAAUGCUAUAUAUUUUUAUAUAGAUAAAUAUAUGUAGUAAAGGUAUAACUUCUGAAUAAGAAGAGUAUGUACCAAUUUCAGAUAACUCCAUAGUUAUCUAUGGAGCAGUAGGGAAGGGAAGACUAUAAAAGAGGACUCAAUGAUAUAUGCAACCUUUUAUUUCUUAAAACAUUCUUAAGUAAAUAUGGCAAACUGUCAACAUUUGUUAAAUUUGGCUGGAGGGUAUAUGGAUGUUUGUUAUAUUUGCUGUAAUUUUCUAUAUAAAAGAUUUCAUAAUUAUUUGUUUUUAAUACUGCAAAUAUGUUCUCAUGUUAUCAGAUAUUCUGAAAUAGCAAAUUUUAAAGACUUAUUUUUACUAUUAUAAAUAUUACUAUAAUAAACAUCCUUGCCUUAAAUACU
rnacentral:lncRNA from 10 species